rnacentral:lncRNA from 1 species
UCUUUCUCUCUUAGUUUUCUCUCUUCUCCCAUUUGAGAAUUCUUAAGGAAUUCUAUUUGUUUGUAAUAUUUUGGAGAUAGUAAAGUUAUCAUCUGGUGUUAGUGCCUGAGGACGUAGGUAUAAUUUACCGAACCUCGUUAAAACUCUUGUGUUCUUUCUUGUCCUAUUUUUCUUUCAAUAUUUGAGGGUAUAAUAGUAAUAUUUAAUUGUGCUAUUAAAUUACUAUAGAAGGGAUAUUCUGUCUAAGGAAAGACUUGGUAUUUAAGAGAUCCAUGUGAUCCACCUCUCUUUCCUGGGAAUUGAACUUUGUGUGAUUUUUUAGUACAAUAAUUUACACGCUUCCGACCCUAUUGGAACAACAAGUGGUAUCAAGAGCCGAAGGUUAAUCGUAGUAUGCUCUGUGGUUGCAGUUUAAACUGAUCUUCCACAUCAGAAAAGAUUUCCUUAGGUAUAUUGAAAGAUUAUGGAGAAAACGGUCGGUGUAGGAGCUUCAACAUCGUCCAUGUGGACAAGACCGACAAUUACAAAUGCAAGACUGGCCGUGGAGAUCUUUGAUGGCACAGGCCAUUUUGGUAUGUGGUAAAGUGAGGUUCUAGAUGCCCUUUUUCAGCAGGGUCUAGACAUUGCCAUUGAUGAAGAGAAAAAACUAAGAGAGAAAGAUUGGUUGGGAUGGUUGAAAUGAGAAAUGGUUAGGCCUAUUUAUAGUUGAGGUUCAGGGACUAACUUGCAAAUGGCCUAAAAAAUUAGGGACCAAAAUUGCAAUUAUCCCAUUCAACUUUAAACAACUUGCCUAUCACUUUUUUUCUUUCGGUGCCACUUGCACCUCCCAUUUUUUGACUUUUCAACAAUCUCCACCUUGAAGAAAUAUCGAUUCAUACAAGCUAAAUCUUCUAAUCGAUAAUUGGGCCAAAGAAAGAACUUUAAUUUAAUUAGUUUCUUUUUAUCACUAUCAAGAUGUUUGUUUUUAGUCAAAACUUGACCACAGUUUUUUACAUUAUUUAAAAAUACUGCAUUUCUAUGCAUACCAUUUUUAUCCCUGGAAUUGAAAGAAAUUCGAAUUCGCAAUUCUCGCCGGUGGUUAGGGGAUAAAAUAUUUUCAGGAACAAACAAAUCAUAAUGAUUUUUGUCUUCUUCAAGGUGGAGAUUGUUGAAAAGUCAAAAAAUGGGAGGUGCAAGUGGCACCGAAAGAAAAAAAGUGAUAGGCAAGUUGUUUAAAGUUGAAUGGGAUAAUUGCAAUUUUGGUCCCUAAUUUUUUAGGCCAUUUGCAAGUUAGUCCCUGAACCUCAACUAUAAAUAGGCCUAACCAUUUCUCAUUUCAACCAUCCCAACCAAUCUUUCUCUCUUAGUUUUCUCUCUUCUCCCAUUUGAGAAUUCUUAAGAAAUUCUAUUUGUUUGUAAUAUUUUGGAGAUAGUAAAGUUAUCAUCUGGUGUUAGUGCCCGAGGAUGUAGGUAUAAUUUACCGAACCUCGUUAAAACUCUUGUGUUCUUUCUUGUCCUAUCUUUCUUUCAAUAUUUGAGGGUAUAAUAGUAAUAUUUAAUUGUGCUAUUAAAUUACUAUAGAAGGGAUAUUCUGUCUAAGGAAAGACUUGGUAUUUAAGAGAUCCAUGUGAUCCACCUCUCUUUCCUGGGAAUUGAACUUUGUGUGAUUUUUUAGUACAAUAAUUUACACGCUUCCGACCCUAUUGGAACAACACUUUGGAUCUUCGCCGAUUUUACCACUCUCAUGAGCACCCACAGGAUUGAAGUACCGCAGUAAAAUAAUACUCCAAUCUGGUUCUGCCUUCUGUAUGUCUCGUGCAAUUUCUUCUAGGAAAAGCUGGUAAAGUUUUCAGUUAAAACAAAGUUUAGCGAUUACAGUUCAUGAGAAUUGAUCCGGUUUAGAUCCAAGUAAUGUACAACUAUUUACCUUGGUCCUUCCAUAAGGAUUCAUGGCCUUCAGCUCAAAAUCCUCAACACAUGGUAUUUUUUCAGGUUGGCCAUAGACUGUUGCAGAGGAAGAGAAU